rnacentral:misc_RNA from 1 species
GUCCUCUUCGCUUCCCAAGAUAUUUAGGGAAAAGGGCCUUGUCGGCCACCGCUUGCUGACGAUGGAACGCAUCGUCAAUUAAAAGUCCUCGCGUUGGACAACGUUGGAAAGGUAGGUGUUCGGCAUGUCCCUUGCUUGCGAACUUAUUGUUGAGGGCGGGUAGCUUUGGAGAUCCCAUUCCUCACGUUUACCGUUGUCCCCAGAC